AUACUUAUCUGGCAGGAGAGACACCAUGAUCAUGAAUGUGGUAUUCCCUGGGUGAGCCUUAUCCACUGCACUAGGGAUGUGCUGACUCCUGAGAUUUCCCCAAAUGCAAGAAACUCGACUGCAUAAUUUUGUGGUAGUUGGGGACUCUGUUGGAGCUCUCCCUUA
ensembl:snRNA U1 U1 spliceosomal RNA